GGUCCCAUAGCUCAGUUGGUUAGAGCAGUGUACUAAUAGUAUAACCUCUUCGUUAUAACAUCGGUAAUGCAAAGGUCGUGAGUUCGACCCUCACUGGGACCA
rnacentral:tRNA from 1 species